GUAUAAGAGACAGCAGUCGCCGCGGUAAUACGGAGGGUGCAAGCGUUAAUCGGAAUUACUGGGCGUAAAGCGCACGCAGGCGGUCUGACAAGUCAGAUGUGAAAUCCCCGGGCUUAACCUGGGAACUGCAUUUGAAACUGUCAGGCUGGAGUCUUGUAGAGGGGGGUGGAAUUCCAGGUGUAGCGGUGAAAUGCGUAGAGAUCUGGAGGAAUACCGGUGGCGAAGGCGGCCCCCUGGACAAAGACUGACGCUCAGGUGCGAAAGCGUGGGGAGCAAACAGGAUUAGAUACCCCGGUAGUCCCUGUCUCUUAUAC
rnacentral:rRNA from 1 species